rnacentral:rRNA from 1 species
GACGAACGCUGGCGGCGUGCCUAAUACAUGCAAGUUGAGCGCUGAAGGUUGGUACUUGUUCCAACUGGAUGAGCAGCGAACGGGUGAGUAACGCGUGGGGAAUCUGCCUUUGAGUGGGGGACAACAUUUGGAAACGAAUGCUAAUACCGCAUAAAAACUUUAAACACAAGCUUUAAGUUUGAAAGAUGCAAUUGCAUCACUCAAAGAUGAUCCCGCUUUGUAUUAGCUAGUUGGUGAGGUAAAGGCUCACCAAGGCGAUGAUACAUAGCCGACCUGAGAGGGUGAUCGGACACAUAGAGAGUGAGACACGGCCCAACCUCCUACGGGAGGCAGCAGUAGGGAAUCUUCAGCAAUGGACGAAAGUCUGACCGAGCAACGCCGCGUGAGUGAAGAAUGGUUUCGGAUCGUAAAACUCUGUUGGUAGAGAAGAACGUUGGUGAGAGUGGAAAGCUCAUCAAGUGACGGUAACUACCCAGAAAGCGACGGCCAACUACGUG